ensembl:lncRNA
CUCGCAGCGCUGCCUGCCCGCUGUAAGGCCCGGCACGGACACUGCGUGGCACUCUUCUCCGCAGCACAGCGCCCGGAGCCCGCGGGCGGCCCCGUCCCCGCCGGCUCCACGGCCGCCCCGCGGCUCCCCAGCCCCGCUCGCUCCGUCGGGUCCGGAGCUCCUUCCAGGCACCGCGCGGAGCACCGCGCUCCAACCUGCAGCCUCCCGAGCAGCGCCGGGUUCAUCCUCAGAAGACGCGUGUCGGGAUGUGCCAUCCCCCAAAGCAGGUUUCCUUUCAGGCCUUGGCUAUGUUACCUUGGAGGAAUGUUCUCAUGGUGUGAGAUCUCUGUUGGAUGUGGACAUGGCAGCGCAUCUUCAGAUCCAUCUGCCCACCAAGAAGAGAUGUCCUCCCUCAAACUGGAGAUUGCCAUAGCCAAAAAACCCUCAAGGAAUCUGCAGAUCUUCUCUCAUCCCAUCUUCCCCGUGGAUGGGGAAACAACUGUGUAAGAAGAGAAGGAACCUGUCCUCAAGACAUGGUCAGAUCUGUCACCACCCGGUUGCCAAAUCAUUGCGAGAGAGUGAUGGAUGGAGCUGGAAAACCUGGUCAGUUCAGAGAUGGACUGAUGAGAGAUGGAACGGGAUCACAUCUUGGUGAACACACAGUGCUCUUCGUACAGUUUAUACAAAUUACAGCCUUAAACAAGAGGGACAAAACCCCCUUUGAUUUGGCUUUUUUUGAAGAUAUCCGAAUGGAAGCCCAUGCGGUGGCGGUGCUGCGGGUUUGGGAUGCGCGGUGUUCCCCGGAGCACCCCGGGACGGCUGCUCCUAUUUGGGGAAGGGGCUCCGCGUGCUCUGGGAGCUCUCGGCAUUUUCGGGAGCCGGUUCUGUGGAUGUCCAGGAGAUGGAGCAGUGCUUCUGCGGCCUCUGCCGCCGGUGCCCCUAACGAGCCAGUCUGUCUGAACUCGGAAUGAAUUUUGUUCCCUUUUCAUCACUCUCUGAUGUCCAGCUGCUCCUGUCAACACCUUCUUAUAGCAUGUAAUUCAUCGCUCAGACUGACAGCUGGGGCCGCGGGCCUGGGACCAGCUCCUCCUGCCAUCGGCUGCACCCACUGAGGGUCCCUGCCCUGCGCGAGGGCUUCCCUCGUCCCCUCCCGCACCUGGGGCCCGACAGCUCUGCAGAGGGUUCCCGAGAUGAAACCGGGAGCAACCCAGAGCCUGGGAACCUUGAGCAGGGCUCGGGGAUACCCCACCCUAACGGCUGGAGGAGGCCGGGGAGAGAGGCUGCACUGCUGUCCGCAGGACUCCUUUCCCCGUGUUUGAUCUUGCUUUGGCAAGAGCAGGUUAACACAGGGGCAGCCUUCUGCCCCGAUAUCUGGGCUCACACCCCUAUAAUGGAUGGUAUCUGUUGUCCCGUAACCCCACCAGGAUGCAUCAAGCAGGGCUUGCUGUUGGCACUGCACACCACCACGCAGCUCUGGUACAGCACGAGUUCCUCUGGUGCCAUCCCCCUCACCCAACUCCCCUUCUGUCAACCAGCCAGUUUCUAAUAACUAUCCUUUAACUCAGCACUUCUGCCUUCGAUUCUCCUCCCGCGCCUUCCUGUCUUCCUAUAAUUUAUUCUAUAUUUCACCGAUUUCUUGUCCUCAUUUACAAUUCUUCUUUAUUUUAUUACUUUGCAUAAUUUCCUUUUAGGAUUUGUCAUAAAAUAUAUUCUGCCACCUCGAUCUUCUCAUUUCUGCUCUCAAGUGCCAGCAUGUGCUCUCCUGCAGCAGCUCCUGAUGCCUUCCCAGCCCUGGUGCUGCACUGCCCAGCCCUGGAGGACCUGGAGAGCCCCUGGGAGGGAUCUUUGGUAUGUUGGCAUGUGAUGGUGUAGAAUCAACACUGCCCAGAGCUGAUCUAAUAACAAUGAUGGUGAAGUGAGUGAGGGUGUACUCAAUGGGCUCCAUUGUGGCCAUGUUGACACACAUCCCAUUCUCUUCGCUAUCCAAUCUGCUCUGAAAGGUAGGAGAGCACAUGGGGAAACUGAGGCACAAAGCUCUGACUCAGAUCCUCCAAGGCACUUAAAUGCUUUCUUCUCUUUAAAAACAAGAGUGAGGCAUUCUUCUGAUAUUCUUCAUGGUGUCUCUGAGCCACCUCUUCAAGGUCACGAAGGGCAGCUGUAGAAAGGUGGUACAGAAAACUGGAUGAAGAUUUUCUGCAAUUCAUCUUAGAAUUUGAAUUUUUUACCCCAAAUACGACCUUGUAGAAGGGAGCGCAGAAGGCUUAGAGGAGCUGCUCACAUCUCAGUGCAUCCCUUCCCCAAGGAGAACAAAAACUAUCUCCAGGGAGGUGCGGUGCAAACCCUGCUGUCCAUGCUGUGUCUCCUGGAGGGGGCAGACCCAGUCUGCUUCCGUGGAGCACCCCCAAGAGCAUGAACCUCAACAGCUUUUGAGGAAAUCUGUGUGAACCAGCAGUCUGUGCUUCAAUUCAUUUUUAAGUAAGAGUCCUGGUAGGGGAAAAUGGAAAUGAAUGAAAGCAUCCUCUCUGUGCCCAAAUUUUGUGGGUUUUCUCCAGCUGAAGGCAUCUUAUCCGGUCUGAAAAACGUGAAAUUAUGACACAGCAUGCUAAGCUACGGCUCACGAGCCCUUCUGAGGAAGAUUUUUUGAAUGAAUCCUGGCCAAAAGAUGGCUUUGUGUGUGAGAACCACGUAGUUUCAUUUGUCAUCCCUUUGAUUUCGAAGAUCCACUUGGAUAUGAAGCUCCACAUAAGACCUGUGAGCUCAAAACCUCGGACAGAUCAGAACGGAAAACAUCCUCAUGGCUCCCUGUGCUGGAAGAAAACCGCUGGCUUCGUCUUCCUAACACAUUUCGUUUGGGGGUUUUUUCUAAUAUGGAGAAAUCCCCGCGUGGUUUGGGUUUGCAAGGAGGAUUUUCCCUUCAUGCGCUGCCACAACAACUGAGAUCAGCCGAGGCACUCGAGUGAACGGAUCCUGGAUGUAAUUGUCUGAGGGCUGGUGGCCAGGUUUUGUCAGAAGAGGGCCCGAUUGGCUGGGUUUCAGUUCCACCUCUGCCUUGACAGAGCCUGUCUCCUUUAAUCAUUAGAGUUCAGUGCACGGCUUUCUCCUGGCACAAGUUGGGAUUUCAUUUGUUUUGGAGGAAGAUUGCUUCUUUUGUUAGUUGAGGUCUUUUGGUUCCAGUUGUGUAAACUGGGACGAGAUGAUCCCAUUGGCUCCAAAGAACUUACGGCCAGGGGCGGGCUGUCUGCUGUUCAGUUUUGGGGUUGGUUUUAAAUCUUUACACGCCAUCCUUGUGCCUAUGGAAGCAUUCUUACGACUGUAAUGAGGCACGUUUUAUGAACUGAGAACAAAAUGAAUGCGUGCUCUUCCCAGACUCGGGGCAGUCAACACAAACUCAGCGCCAUAAACUGAGUUCCUGAGUCAACCGAGCUUCUGAAUUUAGAGACAGAAGUGAAUGUUGCAUUAUUACAGCCUUGCAGAACUCCGGUUAAUUUACAGUGGUGUGAAAUCCAUUUUUUUAAUGACUAUGACACUGCCAAAAUCUUUGCAGAUGCAGAAACAGCUUCGCAGGAGAAUUUCAAUCUAACAUCAACAGGAGAUUUGGAAGAUGAAUUGUGCAAGGAUCUCCUUCCUCCAACGAUGCUGCUUUGUUUUGCUUUUUGGCAUUUGGUUUGGCUCUAAUAUUGUCUGUUUUAUGAUGUUUUAAUUAUUGUUGUUUAUUUAUUAUAAUCAUAUUUUAAUUGUUUGUGUAGUGCCUUGAGUGCCUAGGCAGGGGGGCACAUUAUAAAUUAAAUUAUUAU